UACAGAGGUCUCAAGCGUUGUUCGGAUUCAUUGGGCGUAAAGGGUGCGUAGGUGGCGAUGUAAGUCGGAUGUGAAAUCUCCAGGCUCAACCUGGAAACUGCAUUCGAUACUGCGUCGCUCGAGGAUUGUAGAGGGCAUUGGAAUUCACGGUGUAGCAGUGAAAUGCGUAGAUAUCGUGAGGAAGACCAGUGGCGAAGGCGAAUGCCUGGGCAAUUCCUGACACUGAGGCACGAAGGCCAGGGGAGCGAACGGG
rnacentral:rRNA from 1 species